rnacentral:tRNA from 1 species
CUCUGUGGCUCAGUUGGUAGAGCGUGGCGCUUGCAUCGCCUGGAUUGUGGGUUCAAUUCCCGCUGGGG